CCUACGGGAGGCAGCAGUGGGGAAUUUUGGACAAUGGGCGCAAGCCUGAUCCAGCAAUGCCGCGUGAGUGAAGAAGGCCUUCGGGUUGUAAAGCUCUUUUGUCAGGGAAGAAACGGCUGAGGUUAAUACCUUUGGCUAAUGACGGUACCUGAAGAAUAAGCACCGGCUAACUACGUGCCAGCAGCCGCGGUAAUACGUAGGGUGCAAGCGUUAAUCGGAAUUACUGGGCGUAAAGCGUGCGCAGGCGGUUUUGUAAGUCUGUCGUGAAAGCCCCGGGCUCAACCUGGGAAUUGCGAUGGAGACUGCAAGGCUUGAAUCUGGCAGAGGGGGGUAGAAUUCCACGUGUAGCAGUGAAAUGCGUAGAGAUGUGGAGGAACACCGAUGGCGAAGGCAGCCCCCUGGGUCAAGAUUGACGCUCAUGCACGAAAGCGUGGGGAGCAAACAGGAUUAGAUACCCUGGUAGUCCACGCCCUAAACGAUGUCUACUAGUUGUCGGGUUUUAAUUAACUUGGUAACGCAGCUAGCGCGUGAAGUAGACCGCCUGGGGGUACGUCGCAAGNUUAAACUAGAAUGACGUGNGNGNGNGCGAGACGACGACGAGAGAGG
rnacentral:rRNA from 1 species